rnacentral:rRNA from 1 species
GUCUUCUUGUUUAUAUAUGAAGUCUGGUCUGCCCACUGAAGGUUGAAGGGCCGCGGUAUUUUGACCGUGCAAAGGUAGCAUAAUCAUUAGUCCUUUAAUUGGGGGCUGGAAUGAAGGGCUGCACGAGGUAUAGACUGUCUUAUUUGAAUUGUUAUUAGAAUUUAAUUUUUAAGUUAAAAAGCUUAAAUUUUUUUAAAGGACGAGAAGACCCUAUAGAACUUUAUAUAAAUGCAAGUAAAUGGCCUUUGGUUGUUUUUAUAUUUAUUUGUGUUUGUAUUUUGUUGGGGUGAUAGGAAAAUAAAAUUAACUUUUUUUAUUAUUUUACAUUAAUUUAUGAUUAUUUGAUCCAUUUUUAGUGAUUAUAAGAUUAAGUUACCUUAGGGAUAACAGCGUAAUUUUCCCUUAGAGUUCUUAUCGACGGGAAAGCUUGCGACCUCGAUGUUGGAUUAAGAUUAAUUUUUGGUGUAGAAGCUGAAAUAUUAGGUCUGUUCGACCUUUAAAUUCUUACA